UUAGUGGGCUCACGGUGGAAUCAGUGAUGAGGGUGAAGUCGUAAGGCUAAUAACGGUGAAGGCCGCCAUCGGCGGUUAAUACCGUGGGAAGUUUUCUAACUUUAUUAGAAAACCCCGUAUCGACUAAUUCUUCGGUGCGAUUUAUCCUCCGAAGAUGAGAUGUAAUUCUUUUGUUUCAACUUCAUUGAGCAAAAAUCUAAGAUUACAUCACACGCCGACUCCUGAGUAUUCUUAGGAUGAAGAUAUAGUCAGCGCCAUUAGUAAUAAUGGA
rnacentral:autocatalytically_spliced_intron from 1 species